UUGUUCUUUCAAAAGUUUACAACUGAACAGUGACUUAAUACAGCUUUGAAGAAGAAAAAUGCUGGUUUCCCUUUAUGUUUUUAGUAGUUCAUGUUUAACCCAGUAUUGUACUGUAUUUGUUUUGUUUUGUUUUUGGUCUCUGCUGCUGCCUGAUGGCAUACUUCCAGGUCCAAAUGAGGUCUGUAGUUGAUGGUCAGUUUGUAACUCUGGUGUUCAUAACUCUUGAGGUUCUGUUGUACGACCUCACUUGCCUUGUCUCUCUAAUAUCCUGGGACCAAUAUGGCUACAACACUGCAUGCAUGCUAUCACUUUGUCAGACUCCUGUUAGAGAUUCCUCUUUCAAAUGAGUAUUACAUUUCUCUAAGAUAUGGUUGAUUUACAUAUGAAAAAGAAUUAUAGAAGUUUGAAAUAGCGAAGAUCUCUUUGUCGUCUAAUCCAGUGGUUCUCAGCUUUUUUCAUUUGCAGACCCCUACAAAAUUUUGAAUGGAGGUGUGGACCCUCUUAGAUACUGUCUGUGGACCCCAAGGGGCCUGUGACCACAGGUUGAAAACAACUGUUCUAUGCAGGCUGGGCACAGUGCAGAGACCUUUGCAUGAGACUAUGCAGCUGGAGGGCCUGGCCUGGUGGGGGCACUCUGGGUGGAGCUCACAGCCUGACCCAUGCCUCUCUAGGAUAAUGGGGUGAGCAGCAACCAGCUCACCUCCUUUUACCAAUGGUAAGUCCACUUUGCUCAAGUGCUCUUACUGAAGCACUACAAGAUGGCAUCUUUCACUUGUCAGGAAACAGGAUAUUUAGGGUCGAAUGAAUAAUCUUGACAUUUGUUUCCCCUUUGCCUUAGAUAUUUUACAAUAGUUUUAUGAAUCUCAGAUAUUAUACAUUUAUUGGACUUUGUGACUGUCUUAAAUAUUCUUUACUUGCUAUGUGUAGUGGCCCCCAAAGAGAUAUCUGGCCAUUAGAGAUCCUGACACACACCCACAAGUCUGGUUCUAAUGAUCCAAACAAUGAGGUUCCACCAUUUCCCUUUGUAGACUUUUGCACAGUGCACGGUAAUAGACCCCCUCCACGCUAUGGAUGUUUUUACUAAUAUGCAUCUUAUAUUUUCUUUGCUCCAUUUCUUCCCAUUCUAAUUAUAUGCUCUUGCACCACCUUAAAACUUGUAUUUUGUCUCUAGGUAAGAAUAUGCAGUCCCAUACACACACAUCUUUGUCAAGCUGAUCAUAAGUAUCCUGAUUUUGUAAAAACAAACAAAUAAAUCAAUCAGAAUCUCAGCAUUUGUAUCCAGCUCUGGAGGCUACAGAAUGCUCCAGUCACCUCUUAACCUGACUACUGCAACAUCCAGCUUUCUAGUUUCCCCUCUCUUCCCACCCAACAUGCUUCCAGUAAAACAAUUUUAUUUUUUCACCAUUUCAGACAUGUCUCCUUCAUUCUUGAAUCUGUACAUCUGCUUCAGUUCUUUGUCCUCAUUUAGUAUCUCUCUUUACCUAUAAGGUCCUCUGGCUGCAUCUAUACUCAUACACCAUUUCCUGCAUUACACCCAAGUCUCAUAGUUAUCCCCUGUGUCUCUGUCAGCUGCUCCAGACCCAUUCAGUAAAAACAGGUCAGGCUGCCUAAAAGUAGGUCUAUGCUGUGUUUCUAACCAUCUUUAAAAUAAGCUUAGCUGAAAACCAGUUCGGCAAAUUUCCCAAGGUACAGAGGCCCAUAGAAUGAAAUACCUAGGCACAACAGGGUCCGUUAAGUAGCCCACUGCUGUGUUAGCAGGAGAGAGGGAGGAGGGAUGACUUUUGUGGGUUUGUCAAACCUUUAUUUGUUCAUGUUUGUUUUGUAUUUAAUAGGCUUACAUCUGUGUCUUUGCUCUUUAGAGCACUGUAUUAUACACUGAAAUGGAUGGUUCCUUUCAGCAAUUAAACAAAGCCAAUAACCUGAAAGAAACCAUAGCUCAAAAGCACAAUCUUGACCUCUGAUUGACCUUGACAUUUACAAGGAAAAAGAACUUUUCUUUUAACAGACAAAACAAGUCAGUGAGCCAGGAAGAACUAGAAGAAAAUGGUUGUGUUGCUUUUUGAUUACUUUGUUUAAACCAACAUACUACAUGGUUUACAAUACUUCAUUGCAAUGUAUUAGGGCUUGGAGAUGAUUUAAUGCCUGUUUAUAAUUCAGACCAUUCUUGAAAUAAACAAGUGAAUGUUUGGAAAAUGGAU